AACGAACGCUGGCGGCAUGCCUAAUACAUGCAAGUCGAACGAGAUCUUCGGAUCUAGUGGCGCACGGGUGCGUAACGCGUGGGAAUCUGCCCUUGGGUUCGGAAUAACUUCUGGAAACGGAAGCUAAUACCGGAUGAUGACGUAAGUCCAAAGAUUUAUCGCCCAAGGAUGAGCCCGCGUAGGAUUAGCUAGUUGGUGGGGUAAAGGCUCACCAAGGCGACGAUCCUUAGCUGGUCUGAGAGGAUGAUCAGCCACACUGGGACUGAGACACGGCCCAGACUCCUACGGGAGGCAGCAGUAGGAAUAUUGGACAAUGGGCGAAAGCCUGAUCCAGCAAUGCCGCGUGAGUGAUGAAGGCCUUAGGGUUGUAAAGCUCUUUUACCCGGGAUGAUAAUGACAGUACCGGGAGAAUAAGCUCCGGCUAACUCCGUGCCAGCAGCCGCGGUAA
rnacentral:rRNA from 1 species